UACGUAGGGGGCGAGCGUUGUCCGAAGUUACUGGGCGUAAAGCGCGCGUAGGCGGCUUCUUAAGUCUGGGGUGAAAGGUUCAGCGCUCAACGCGAACAGUGCCUUGGAUACUGGGGAGCUUGAGUUCGGGAGGGGGCAGUGGAAUUCCGGGUGUAGCGGUGAAAUGCGUAGAUAUCGGGAGGAACACCAAUGGCGAAGGCAGCUCGCUGGGACGUUACUGACGCUGAGACGCGAAAGCGUGGGGAGCGAACCGG
rnacentral:rRNA from 1 species